AUUGAACGCUGGCGGCAGGCCUAACACAUGCAAGUCGAACGAGUGGCGGACGGGUGAGUAAUGUCUGGGAAACUGCACGAUGGAGGGGGAUAACUACUGGAAACGGUAGCUAAUACCGCAUACCAUCGGAUGUGCCCAGAUGGGAUUAGCUAGUAGGUGGGGUAACGGCUCACCUAGGCGACGAUCCCUAGCUGGUCUGAGAGGAUGACCAGCCACACUGGAACUGAGACACGGGCCAGACUCCUACGGGAGGCAGCAGUGGGGAAUAUUGCGCAAUGGGCGAAAGCCUGAUGGAGCAAGGCCGCGUGUAUGAAGAAGGUGUUCGGGUUGUAAAGCACUGUCAGCGAGGAGGCGUUACUCAAAGAAGAAGCAACGGCUAACUCCGUGCCAGCAGCCGCGGUAAUAC
rnacentral:rRNA from 1 species